UGUUAGCAAGUGCAAAAUUAGAUACGAGGUCAUCAGCUAUUAUAAAAAGAAGAUUUUCUUUUUACAUAGAUGCCCAGUGGUUGAAUUACAAAAAUAGGUGGAUUAAACCUGAGAGUAUUAAAGGUUCUGAGAGGUGCUCGACAAACCGUAAACAAGGGCAUGAGACUGCGUCUGGCACACAUAGUAGUGGAUGUAUAUCAUUUGCGGAGACAACAACAAAAAUGGACAAAGAGAAUAAUGGAAAACUUCAUCUAUUUAUGUAUUUCAUUCAAAAGACCCACAAGCUAAGGAACGGUGAUUCACAAGGGUUGUUGUGUUCACAGCAUGCUCAACAAAUUGUAGUAAGUUCUUUUCACAUAUUUGGCUUGAUUUCUGGAAAUGACUUGAUUUCUGAAAUUUUAUUUGGAAUUGUAGUCUGUGAUCAUCAUAAAUUUGUUCUGUCUUAUGCUGUAUUUGUAAAACUGAGCAUUGCUUAUAGUAAUGCUUUUAAGAGUUUUUUUAUGAAAAGUUAAACUAAUUGUGUUGUAUGAGAA